UUUAAGGGCUGUUUGCCACUGGGGAAGCUUUUCUUUCUGGAGAUCCUUUCUUGGUGGAGCUUCUCUGUGAGAACCUAGAAUCUUCUGAGAUAGAAUCCAGACCUGAAACACUGAAGAGAUUUGGGUGGAGCAGUGCUUUGGUUCUUCAGAGAUACAGCUUCCCUCUGUGGAUGAAGAGAGGCAGACCUUGCCUUCCAGGACAGCCGUUAGUGAGAUCUGGCAUAGCCUCCUGUGAAGGUGCUUGGUUCAUUCUGAGCACGAAGAGCUCCAGAAUAAAUCAGAGGGACUGAGCAGGUCUUCCUGAAACAAGCGUAUCUGCUCUGCGCAUUGCAUUCAUCCGACACAGUGAAUUCAAAGGUCUGCGUUUCUUCUGAAUCAACUUUCCAGAUAAGGAGGCCAGCAGGAGAGAGCCUGGCAUCCUGUGGCCCAGCCUCUAAGAUGAAUAGCACAGCUGACCCUUCUGGAUCCACCGCUGUUAACUGAGGAAAUCAAUGAUGUUAUCUCUGGAGAAGUCUCCUGGCAGUCAGUAAUUGGGUACCCACCCAUACCCUUGAUGGGGAAAACUCAAGGAAUACACUUCUGCAAGCUGGGAAGGACUUCUGCACGAGAUAACUAAAGAAAUGCUGCUUUUUCCUGCCCAUAACCAAGGAAGAUAUGAAAGCAAAUAUUUCAAGGUGAAUUGGAUGCUAAUAGAGAAGAGUUCCAAAGAGAAUAGUGGUGUUUCUGAUUUCUCUAUAACUAACUGCAGAAAGUGAGAACUGCAUCCUUUUUUAACAGCUGAGUGGGAUCUUAACACAGCUGUUAACUUGACAUGACUCGUGAAUAUAAAACUUCUCCUUGGUAACUGCUGAUUCUCAUUGUGCUGACUGAAAAACCAGCCACCAUGCUGCUUGGAUGAUAAUGGGCCUCCAGGCUUUCCUUGUCUGAUGAAGCUGAUCUCUAUUCCAGGUAAGAAGAAAAUGAUUGUGAAAUUGAUCCAUGCUGGGAGUGGGAGGAGGAGUUCUCUAUCCGGAUAAGUAACCUUAAUACUUUCAUCCACAAUUAAAUGUUACCAGUUAAUUUUGAAAAGCACAUUAAAUGGUUGGAAACAUCUCACUACAAUGAUUUCUAAAUAUCUUAGUUUUUUAAAAUCACUCCUGGCUGAGAAUAAUUGAUUCAGCCAAAUAAUGCCCAUUGCUUUUUUCUGUAUUUUUUUGGUCCUUUAUACUCUCAUCCAAACUGAACCUACUAAUAUCUGUGAGAAGUGAAUAACUUAUGUUUGUAUUUCUGUGCUGGAACCCAGAUUUACAUUUUGGCUGCAAUAAAUAACAAUCUUAUUCAUUUGAGCUUCUCAGCCCUCUUUUCAACGAGGAGAACACUUUUGUGGAGCUUGAGACCUUGGCUGUAUGUUUUGCUUUCCAAGGGAACUUAAAGAGCCAGUUGUUUUAAUACAUAGAGCAGAACAACUGCAGCUGACAUAGUGUUGGGCAGUGUUUGUUUUCCUCCUUUUGAAAAACUUUUGAGUUAUGUGCUUUCCUGCUGGGAUGAGCAUCUCCCACAAGGCCAUCUAUGAAAUCCUUAAGGUCAAACCUGCUGUUUCAACCUUCUGUGCUGUGUGAAUGGGUAUUACCAGGUGGAUUUAUUUUCAGAAGUCCAUAGCCCUUCCUUUCCUGCUGCCCUUGGGCAAGGCAAGCCAUAUGCCAGGAGGAGCUGACCACAGCCCAGGUUUUCUUAAAACACCUGGAUUUAAAACUGUUGGCAGGAACUCUGAAGAAGAUUUUUUUGAGACCUCAGUUUAAAGAGAAGAAGGUGAUGGGCUGCUGAAAAACCACUGCAGAAAGGAGUGAUGCUGAGCAAAUGGAGGUACACUGCUCAUGGUGGUAACUCAGGGACCAUAUUUGUUGUCUACAAUUCCAUUCAGAUCAGGGCAGCAUUCCUAUUUACAUACCAGAGGUGUCUUAAUUUAUUUUAAACACAAAGGAAAUCAGUGAAACUUACCUGAGGUGCAAAUGAGUAUAGGGUUUCUUGCUGCAAU